CCGCCUUUUCUUUGCUUAAUGCUCCAGUGCAUUGUCUCUGUAUUGCAGAAAUAGUUUGAUUGUUAUAGGCUAAUUCAAUAUGGUCUGACCUAGCGGUUGACCAUAAUUAAUUUAUGUCAAUCCUUCGUUUCUAGGUAGAUAUAAAUCACGACAUUGAUCAUGUGAUGAGUUCAUGUUUGUCUUGCAUGAGAGGAACAAGCUGAUUGUUGCAUGAAACAUAUAAUUUAUUUGCCUUCUCUAAAAUAUUUACUUUGCUUUGUAAAGUUUCAGUCCAGAAAUAUAACAGUUAAUAUGUCAGGAAUAGAAGCCUCUGAUGUACAUAAUAAAAUCCAAUAUUUGCCAGAUUUUAGUUAUCCUGUUUUAUAGUUCUGUCAUACUCUUGAUUAUGUGUUGUCCAUUGCUUUAACUUGUUUCUCAUAAAAGAUUAUUCAGCCUUCUGUGGAAACUGCAGUGGAUGCUGCUACAACCUCCAUUUGUCUUAGGACCAGCACUGCUGCCAAGAAACCAAAGCAGUGGCUGGUCUGCAUGCAUAAGCAGGCCAUUUUCUGUACAACUUUAUCUUCAUGGAUGGUUCUUGUUACGGGCUUGGCUCACAGGCCCAGGUGAAGAGCUUAUCAGUAUCUUAAUAAUGCUCGCUACCUCAACAUCUGCUGGUAUUCAGCGUGCCUUCCUUUCUACAUCGUUGAGAUGAGCUCACCGCCUUGACGCAUGCUACUGCUUCAUGUGGGUUCUCUGCUAAGCUGUCAAGCUGAUGUGAUGCCUUUACUACCUGCCUAUAAACUGCCGUUGGACUUGUAUUCUCUGCUGCAGCAGCGACCUGAUGUGUAGCUGUGUAAAUAGCUAUGUAGAAAGCUAUUUUGUGUAAGUGCACGCUGCUCUAUAAGCAUGCUUUUAUAAGUAGAUCCUUUGUGACCAUCGUUCAGCCAGAUCCUAUGCCCAGAAUAUGGGCUGAACUUCAUCUGCACUUUAUCAACUUCUAUGGAUGGCAUGAAUUAUUGCCCAGGAAGACCUUGUGUCGAUAUGCUUUGAUUUCCAUCAGUUUCUCCUCUACAAUAGUGGUAUUGCUUAUUUUGGUAUUUUGUAGUAAUUGUGAUAAAUCAUACAUGUCUUAGGCUUACAUUUUGGACAUGUGCCCUGCUGCUAGAACAUGCUUAUUUAUUUGUAGAACCUUGCCCAUGUAUGGGGUGCA